AGAUCGGGAUAACACCUAGGAAACAGAUGCUAAUACCGGAUAACAACAGAUGAUGCCUAUCAACUGUUUAAAGAUGGUUCUGCUAUCACUCUUGGAUGGACCUGCGGUGCAUUAGCUAGUUGGUAGGGUAACGGCCUACCAAGGCGAUGAUGCAUAGCCGAGUUGAGAGACUGAUCGGCCACAUUGGGACUGAGACACGGCCCAAACUCCUACGGGAGGCAGCAGGC
rnacentral:rRNA from 1 species